rnacentral:SRP_RNA from 1 species
GGGGCUCUGUUGGUUCUCCCGCAACGCUACUCUGUUUACCAGGUCAGGUCCGGAAGGAAGCAGCCAAGGCAGAUGACGCGUGUGCCGGGAUGUAGCUGGCAGGGCCCCCACCCA